GGACCCCCAUGAUGUCCAGCACUGGGCUCUGAUCUCUGUUGAGGACACAGUGCCCCCCGGGACCUUUGACACCCGGGGGUCUGAGUGGGGGGGUCC
rnacentral:snoRNA from 1 species